rnacentral:rRNA from 1 species
AGUGAACGCUGGCGGUAGGCCUAACACAUGCAAGUCGAACGGCAGCACAGUAAGAGCUUGCUCUUACGGGUGGCGAGUGGCGGACGGGUGAGGAAUACAUCGGAAUCUACUUUUUCGUGGGGGAUAACGUAGGGAAACUUACGCUAAUACCGCAUACGACCUACGGGUGAAAGCAGGGGAUCUUCGGACCUUGCGCGAUUGAAUGAGCCGAUUUCGGAUUAGCUAGUUGGCGGGGUAAAGGCCCCCCAAGGCGACGAUCCGUAGCUGGUCUGAGAGGAUGAUCAGCCACACUGGAACUGAAACACGGUCCAGACUCCUACGGGAGGCAGCAGUGGGGAAUAUUGGACAAUGGGCGCAAGCCUGAUCCAGCCAUACCGCGUGGGUGAAGAAGGCCUUCGGGUUGUAAAGCCCUUUUGUUGGGAAAGAAAAGCAGCAGGUUAAUACCCCGCUGUUCUGACGGUACCCAAAGAAUAAGCACCGGCUAACUUCGUG